UACGUAGGGGGCAAGCGUUGUCCGGAUUUAUUGGGCGUAAAGAGCGUGUAGGCGGCCUGGCAGGUCCGUUGUGAAAACCCGAGGCUCAACUUCGGGACGUCGAUGGAAACCGCAAGGCUAGAGUCCGGAAGAGGAGAGUGGAAUUCCCGGUGUAGCGGUGAAAUGCGCAGAUAUCGGGAAGAACACCCGUGGCGAAGGCGGCCUCUCUGG
rnacentral:rRNA from 1 species